rnacentral:rRNA from 1 species
UACGUAGGGUGCAAGCGUUGUCCGGAAUUAUUGGGCGUAAAGCGCUCGUAGGCGGGAAAACAAGUCCGUGUUGAAAGACCUCGGCUCAACUGAGGGACCGGCUCGGAUACUGUUUUUCUUGAGGCAUUCAGAGGGUGAUGGAAUUCCCGGUGUAGCGGUGAAAUUCGUAGAUAUUCGCAAGAACACCAGUGGCGAAGGCGGCUCACUGGCCCGGUACUGACGCUGAGGCACGAAAGCGUGGGGAGCAAACAGG